UACGUAGGUGGCAAGCGUUGUCCGGAUUUACUGGGUGUAAAGGGCGUGCAGCCGGAGAGGCAAGUCAGAUGUGAAAUCCGCGGGCUCAACCCGCGAACUGCAUUUGAAACUGCUUCCCUUGAGUAUCGGAGAGGUAACCGGAAUUCCUAGUGUAGCGGUGAAAUGCGUAGAUAUUAGGAAGAACACCAGUGGCGAAGGCGGGUUACUGGACGACAACUGACGGUGAGGCGCGAAAGCGUGGGGAGCAAACA
rnacentral:rRNA from 1 species